GACGAACGCUGGCGGCGUGCUUAACACAUGCAAGUCGAGCGGUAAGGCCUCUUCGGGGGUACACGAGCGGCGAACGGGUGAGUAACACGUGAGUAAUCUGCCCUUCACUUCGGGAUAAGCUUCGGAAACGGGGUCUAAUACCGGAUACGACACUUUCAGGCAUCUGAUGAGUGUGGAAAGUUUUUUCGGUGGGGGAUGUGCUCGCGGCCUAUCAGCUUGUUGGUGGGGUAAUGGCCUACCAAGGCUUCGACGGGUAGCCGGCCUGAGAGGGUGACCGGCCACACUGGGACUGAGACACGGCCCAGACUCCUACGGGAGGCAGCAGUGGGGAAUAUUGGACAAUGGGCGGAAGCCUGAUCCAGCAACGCCGCGUGAGGGAUGACGGCCUUCGGGUUGUAAACCUCUUUCAGUACCGACGAAGCGAGAGUGACGGUAGGUACAGAAGAAGCACCGGCCAACUACGUGCCAGCCGCCGCAGUAAGAC
rnacentral:rRNA from 1 species